rnacentral:rRNA from 1 species
AGUGAACGCUGGCGGUAGGCCUAACACAUGCAAGUCGAACGGCAGCACAGUAAGAGCUUGCUCUUACGGGUGGCGAGUGGCGGACGGGUGAGGAAUACAUCGGAAUCUACUUUUUCGUGGGGGAUAACGUAGGGAAACUUACGCUAAUACCGCAUACGACCUACGGGUGAAAGCAGGGGAUCUUCGGACCUUGCGCGAUUGAAUGAGCCGAUGUCGGAUUAGCUAGUUGGCGGGGUAAAGGCCCACCAAGGCGACGAUCCGUAGCUGGCCUGAGAGGAUGAUCAGCGACACUGGAACUGAGACACGGUCCAGACUCCUACGGGAGGCAGCAGUGGGGAAUAUUGGACAAUGGGCGCAAGCCUGAUCCAGCCAUACCGCGUGGGUGAAGAAGGCCUUCGGGUUGUAAAGCCCUUUUGUUGGGAAAGAAAAGCAGCAGGUUAAUACCCCGCUGUUCUGACGGUACCCAAAGAAUAAGCACCGGCUAACUUCGUG